rnacentral:miRNA from 1 species
GGGCUAUGAAGAAAGAU